GGAAUGUUGCAGAAGAAUGAAAAAGGCUUCAAAGUACAUUUGCAAAGAUGGAUGAGCUGCUGUUAUCAAAGCUGAGCAGUUAAACAAAGCCCAGUGUCUUCCAAAACCAUGUUCUUGCCAUGAGGUCACCAGUUUGUCACUUCACGGCUGCCUGGCUGCCAUGGCUCCUUCCAUCACAUCCUCAGAAGACAGCAGCCCAAGCCAAAGGGACAAAAAAGACCUCUCCUUGGACCUAUUGCUUACCAGAAAGAAAAGGUCCCAAGGCCUCCACUGGUCUCACUGGCAAGGACUGAAUCACAUGUCCAUCAGGAUUCACACCCCUGAGCAGGGCUCCCCGUCCCUUGGACAGAAUUGGAGUUGGGGUAACAGGAAAGAAAAGGGUGUUGCACAGCGACAAGUGCCCACCACAGGUACCCACAGCUUCUUCCAUUGCACCUCGGAAGGCAACAAGGAGAAACCCCAUCAUUUUUGAGAGCUUUGGUGUCAUUACAUUUCAAUAACAAAGGUCAUUUCCCUUUUU
rnacentral:lncRNA from 10 species